UGCUGGUGGAGCAGGUUGUGGUGUGCUGGUGGAGCAGGUUGUGGUGUACAUAUGUCGGGUGUGCUGGUGGAGCAGGUUGUGGUGUACAUAUGUUGGGUGUGCUGGUGGAGCAGGUUGUGGUGUACAUAUGUCGGGUGUGCUGGUGGAGCAGGUUGUGGUGUACAUAUGUUGGGUGUGCUGGUGGAGCAGGUUGUGGUGUACAUAUGUUGGGUGUGCUGGUGGAGCAGGUUGUGGUGUACAUAUGUUGGGUGUGCUGGUGGAGCAGGUUGUGGUGUACAUAUGUUGGGUGUGCUGGUGGAGCAGGUUGUGGUGUACAUAUGUUGGGUGUGCUGGUGGAGCAGGUUGUGGUGUACAUAUGUUGGGUGUGCUGGUGGAGCAGGUUGUGGUGUACAUAUGUCGGAUGU